UGGGGAAUUUUGGACAAUGGGGGCAACCCUGAUCCAGCCAUGCCGCGUGAGUGAAGAAGGCCUUCGGGUUGUAAAGCUCUUUCGGCGGGGAAGAAAACGUACUGGUGAAUACCCAGUGCGGAUGACGGUACCCGCAUAAGAAGCACCGGCUAACUACGUG
rnacentral:rRNA from 1 species